AGAGGAGUCCCUUGUGGUGCUAUCUUUGUGGAAAGCAUAAGUCUCCCACUCUUGGAGUUGUCAGAUCCUCUCCUCUGAAGAGCAGGAACAGUUGGAGAUAAAGCAGCAUGGACCAGGAGAACAGGAAGAGAUCUUGAUGGCUCUCAGAACAAUACAUCCGUGCCACUUGCUGCGCAGAGGAGAUGUGUUUGGAUGAAGACAAG